rnacentral:rRNA from 1 species
UACGGAGGGUGCAAGCGUUGUCCGGAAUCACUGGGCGUAAAGGGCGCGUAGGCGGCUCAUGAAGGCUGUGGUGAAAGUCCGGGGCUCAACCUCGGAUCGGCCGUGGCGACUCGUGGGCUGGAGCACUGUAGAGGCGGGUGGAAUUCCGGGUGUAGCGGUGGAAUGCGUAGAGAUCCGGAAGAACACCAGUGGCGAAGGCGGCUCACUGGCCCGGUACUGACGCUGAGGCACGAAAGCGUGGGGAGCAAACAGG